rnacentral:rRNA from 1 species
AACGUAGGAGACAAACGUUAUCCGGAGUUACUGGGCGUAAAGGGCUUGUAGGUGGCCAACUAAGUCAGACGUGAAAUCCCUCGGCUUAACCGGGGAACUGCGUCUGAUACUGGAUGGCUUGAGUGUGGGAGAGGGAUGCGGAAUUCCAGGUGUAGCGGUGAAAUGCGCAGAUAUCGGGAGGAACACCAAUGGCGAAGGCAGCUCGCUGGGACGUUACUGACGCUGAGACGCGAAAGCGUGGGGAGCAAACAGG